GCUGCGUGCUUAACACAUGCAAGUCGAACGCUGAAGCCUGGUGCUUGCACCGGGUGGAUGAGUGGCGAACGGGUGAGUAACACGUGAGUAACCUGCCCCUGACUUCGGGAUAAGCCCGGGAAACUGGGUCUAAUACCGGAUACGACUGCCGGACGCAUGUCUGGUGGUGGAAAGUUUUUUCGGUUGGGGAUGGGCUCGCGGCCUAUCAGUUUGUUGGUGAGGUAAUGGCUCACCAAGACGACGACGGGUAGCCGGCCUGAGAGGGCGACCGGCCACACUGGGACUGAGACACGGCCCAGACUCCUACGGGAGGCAGCAGUGGGGAAUAUUGCACAAUGGGGGAAACCCUGAUGCAGCGACGCAGCGUGCGGGAUGACGGCCUUCGGGUUGUAAACCGCUUUCAGCAGGGAAGAAGCGCAAGUGACGGUACCUGCAGAAGAAGUACCGGCUAACUACGUGCCAGCAGCCGCGGUAAUACGUAGGGUACGAGCGUUGUCCGGAAUUAUUGGGCGUAAAGAGCUCGUAGGUGGUUGGUCACGUCUGCUGUGGAAACGCAACGCUUAACGUUGCGCGUGCAGUGGGUACGGGCUGACUAGAGUGCAGUAGGGGAGUCUGGAAUUCCUGGUGUAGCGGUGAAAUGCGCAGAUAUCAGGAGGAACACCGGUGGCGAAGGCGGGACUCUGGGCUGUAACUGACACUGAGGAGCGAAAGCAUGGGGAGCGAACAGGAUUAGAUACCCUGGUAGUCCAUGCCGUAAACGUUGGGCACUAGGUGUGGGGGGCAUUCCACGUUCUCCGCGCCGUAGCUAACGCAUUAAGUGCCCCGCCUGGGGAGUACGGUCGCAAGGCUAAAACUCAAAGGAAUUGACGGGGGCCCGCACAAGCGGCGGAGCAUGCGGAUUAAUUCGAUGCAACGCGAAGAACCUUACCAAGGCUUGACAUACACCGGACCGUCCUGGAAACAGGUCCUCUUCUUUGAAGCUGGUGUACAGGUGGUGCAUGGUUGUCGUCAGCUCGUGUCGUGAGAUGUUGGGUUAAGUCCCGCAACGAGCGCAACCCUCGUUCUAUGUUGCCAGCAUGUGAUGGUGGGAACUCAUAGGAGACUGCCGGGGUCAACUCGGAGGAAGGUGGGGAUGACGUCAAAUCAUCAUGCCCUUUAUGUCUUGGGCUUCACGCAUGCUACAAUGGCUGGUACAGAGAGAGGCGAACCCGUGAGGGCAAGCGAAUCCCUUAAAGCCAGUCUCAGUUCGGAUCGUAGUCUGCAAUUCGACUACGUGAAGUCGGAGUCGCUAGUAAUCGCAGAUCAGCAACGCUGCGGUGAAUACGUUCCCGGGCCUUGUACACACCGCCCGUCAAGUCACGAAAGUCGGUAACACCCGAAGCCGGUGGCCUAACCGUAAGGAGGGGGCCGUCUAAGG
rnacentral:rRNA from 1 species